GAGGACAGCUGGGUCUCCAAGUGGCAGAGGAUCAGUACCUUCAAGCCAGGUGUCUAUGCAGUGUCCGUGACCGGCCGCCUGCCCCAAGGGAUCGUCCGAGAGCUGAAGAGCCGUGGUGUGGCCUACAAAUCCCGGGACACAGCCAUAAAAACCUAAAGGGCUCUUGUGCUGCCUGGAGGAUCCUGGUGCUCCAAAUCCUCUUAGCUUUACCCUGCAGGGAAGCGAGGCUGGACUCGGGGUGUGCUGGCUCAGCUCCCCUCCCUCGGUACCUCCGGACUCCGCCGCCCCACGCUCUGCCCACACAGACCAGAGACCUUUAUUUGAGCCUUGACAGGGGGGAGGGUGUGAGUAGGGCUGGGGGAGGGUGUUUAAUCGUGUUGCACAAGUUUUUUAAAGUUGGUGUGGGAAAGAGGGAAUUUGGGAUCUAGCUGUGUAAAUAGUUCAAUAAAUCCCACUGCCUGGCCAGGGCUGGGUCCAGCUGUU